UACCAGCACCCCGAGUGGUCGGGACGAUUAUUGGGCCUAAAGCAUCCGUAGCCGGUUUUACAAGUCCUCCGUUAAAUCCAACUGCUUAACAGAUGGGCCGCGGAGGAUACUAUAAGACUAGGAGGCAGGAGAGGCAAGCGGUACUCAGUGGGUAGGGGUAAAAUCCGUUGAUCCAUUGAAGACCACCAGUGGCGAAGGCGGCUUGCCAGAAUGCGCUCGACGGUGAGGGAUGAAAGCUGGGGGGAGCAA
rnacentral:rRNA from 1 species